UCCUGGCUCAGAUUGAACGCUGGCGGCAGGCCUAACACAUGCAAGUCGAGCGGUAGCACAGAGAGCUUGCUCUCGGGUGACGAGCGGCGGACGGGUGAGUAAUGUCUGGGAAACUGCCUGAUGGAGGGGGAUAACUACUGGAAACGGUAGCUAAUACCGCAUAACGUCGCAAGACCAAAGAGGGGGACCUUCGGGCCUCUUGCCAUCAGAUGUGCCCAGAUGGGAUUAGCUAGUAGGUGGGGUAACGGCUCACCUAGGCGACGAUCCCUAGCUGGUCUGAGAGGAUGACCAGCCACACUGGAACUGAGACACGGUCCAGACUCCUACGGGAGGCAGCAGUGGGGAAUAUUGCACAAUGGGCGCAAGCCUGAUGCAGCCAUGCCGCGUGUAUGAAGAAGGCCUUCGGGUUGUAAAGUACUUUCAGCGGGGAGGAAGGUGUUGAGGUUAAUAACCUCAGCAAUUGACGUUACCCGCAGAAGAAGCACCGGCUAACUCCGUGCCAGCAGCCGCGGUAAUACGGAGGGUGCAAGCGUUAAUCGGAAUUACUGGGCGUAAAGCGCACGCAGGCGGUCUGUCAAGUCGGAUGUGAAAUCCCCGGGCUCAACCUGGGAACUGCAUUCGAAACUGGCAGGCUAGAGUCUUGUAGAGGGGGGUAGAAUUCCAGGUGUAGCGGUGAAAUGCGUAGAGAUCUGGAGGAAUACCGGUGGCGAAGGCGGCCCCCUGGACAAAGACUGACGCUCAGGUGCGAAAGCGUGGGGAGCAAACAGGAUUAGAUACCCUGGUAGUCCACGCCGUAAACGAUGUCAGAUUUGGAGGUUGUUCCCUUGAGGAGUGGCUUCCGGAGCUAACGCGUUAAAUCGACCGCCUGGGGAGUACGGCCGCAAGGUUAAAACUCAAAUGAAUUGACGGGGGCCCGCACAAGCGGUGGAGCAUGUGGUUUAAUUCGAUGCAACGCGAAGAACCUUACCUACUCUUGACAUCCAGAGAACUUUCCAGAGAUGGAUUGGUGCCUUCGGGAACUCUGAGACAGGUGCUGCAUGGCUGUCGUCAGCUCGUGUUGUGAAAUGUUGGGUUAAGUCCCGCAACGAGCGCAACCCUUAUCCUUUGUUGCCAGCGGUCCGGCCGGGAACUCAAAGGAGACUGCCAGUGAUAAACUGGAGGAAGGUGGGGAUGACGUCAAGUCAUCAUGGCCCUUACGAGUAGGGCUACACACGUGCUACAAUGGCGCAUACAAAGAGAAGCGACCUCGCGAGAGCAAGCGGACCUCAUAAAGUGCGUCGUAGUCCGGAUUGGAGUCUGCAACUCGACUCCAUGAAGUCGGAAUCGCUAGUAAUCGUAGAUCAGAAUGCUACGGUGAAUACGUUCCCGGGCCUUGUACACACCGCCCGUCACACCAUGGGAGUGGGUUGCAAAAGAAGUAGGUAGCUUAACCUUCGGGAGGGCGCUUACCACUUUGUGAUUCAUGACUGGGGUGAAGUCGUAAAAAGGUAACCAAAA
rnacentral:rRNA from 1 species